CUCUCAGGGAAGGCAGUACAGCAAUCAACAGUUCUGAGGAAAGCAAGAGGCUCUCCUCUCACACUUAACCACAAGCAAAAACCCGACUGCGAGAGUAAAGGAUGAAAGCAUUCAGGGGUCACCACCACUACCAUGACAAGAUGUGCCGCACAGCUGGACAUUGGAUUAACAGUUAAGAAGAGAAGUGGUCACCCUUCAAGUGGAUGCAAGCUGAGAAUGGAGUGCCUGUGCUUUUUAACCAAGCCAAAGUCCCAGGGAAAAAAGUAACUCAACACUCCUGGUGAUAGCCAGCAAAACCAGUGUGAGGGGAGAUGAAAGCAUACUUGGGGAUGCAAGAUGGUGCCACAGAUGAAAAGUCACCUGGCAGCCUCAUUCUUGGCUAAACAAAAGGACCUUAUCUUCAUCACCUCACAGGGUAAAGAAGGACGUGAACCCAGGGAGCUCCAGAAGAAUUCCUGUACCAGCAUUGCAAGAGUCUUGCCCCGAUGCCUAGAGCAACUUCAGGGUCUAAGACCAUGAAUCACCCAGUCAGAUACAUCAUGGAUCUCUAAGACUUGACUGGAUAGGCACCCUAUGAGAAUAUAAUUAUAUUCAUAAUUAUAACCUAGUCAGUUUGAAUAUGCUACUCAUAUGUAUGUUUUCAGGGCUGACCUUUUGGUGUUGACUAACCAAUCGAUGUAUUCUUCCUGUACUUUCAACAUCCCUUAGUUGCCUGUAGCUCUUUGUAUGGGGUUGAGAACUCACUCAUAGACUCACCCACAUUUACAUUUGCAUGUUUAUUAUUUAGCUCUUGUUUAGGUAGUCACGUUGGUGAGACUUUAUGAGUAAAGCUUCUAAUAUUACUAGGAGACAGUCUUAUAUAAAACCCCCAAUCCUUUGGCUUUUAAAAUCCUUCUGCCCCAACUUUUCCUCCUUUUCAAUUAUUUCUCACAGGCAUUUGCAGUGGUACCACAAUAGCAGACAUUUAGAUGACUAGCCUGUGAAUAAAGACCAUCUUUCUGCUCUAGUUUAUGUCCAGAAACAAAAACCAAAAUGCUAAUGGUAUUUUCUUUUCUUUUUUAAAAAGGCUACAUUUACACUAGCAAGUAGGGAAUCCUAUUUUGAGUUUUGAAAACAAUAACUGCUCUUAGUGACUCAGUCAAUAGUUCAGAAACAUUUAUUUACUUAGUUCCUAUCUGGUGCAUCUACUAGGAAGAUGUUGUCACAGCAACCAAAUGAGGUAUCUAACUCAAUCUCUCCCUCUAUGCUUACUUCAAAAUGGCCCUGGGAUGCAGUUGGACCAGAAGUAAACUCUUAGAAUGUCUUUCUCUUAAAAUAAGCACAAAUCCAAAAAAACCAAACCAAACAAAACAAAACAACAACAACCCCCCAAAAAACAAACAAAAAACCAAAAAACAGAGGGGCCCAAGUUUAACCCAUGUAAUGCUGUGAUAAGGAGAUAUGGAAGAUUCUGAGUUAUGAUAGAGUCUCCUACUCUAGAGGCCUGCCCAGCUACCAUGCACAGCUUAUGGAAACUGGAAAGAACGGAAGGGUGAUAGCAAGACCCGGGUCUAUCUCGUGCCCUUGUAAUCAGCCAUAUGCCUCCAAGUCUGUUCCUUUCUCAGGGUCCCUGGCAUCAAAUCUCUUGAGAGACCUUGGAUCCCUAGAAGGUGCUGACAAAGCCAGGCAUAAAUUUGGUACCUUGUACUUGAAAACACCAUCUCCCACAGACCCCACACCAUUGUUCUGGGAACCUUGGUAGCUCUAACUUUGCUUUCUUUGGCUCUUUUAAUCUUCCUUUCUGAGCAUCUAGGAUAAUGUUGUCACAAAAAGAACAGGAAGGGAACAAGUAUGAGAGAAAAGAAAUUUCAGGCCUCCUCAAAGAGAAUGGCAAGAAGCAGUCUACAAAGUCCAUUGCUUUUGUUCUCCUAACAGCCUUGGCCUUUCUGUUCCCAAUACCUUGGUCAGGUUCACUAUUUUGAGAGCAGGAGAUACCCUGAAAGCCAUUUUGUCUGACUUCUGUCAUGUUCCUGGUAGAUUCAGAUGGGUAUUUUCAGGGGCCUUGACCCCUUCCCCCAAGGGAAUUGAUCUGCCCUUCUGUUCCUGUCCCUAAGAUCAAGACCCAUAGAUAAAGACUGUCAGCCUGUUGCCAGCUUUUCAUGCCACGGUGGCCCCACUGGCUGUCUGACUCACAUCUCUCCUAUUCCCUUGGAAGUAGUCAAGAACUACAGAGGAUACCCACACUUGUAUAUUUGUACCCAAACCUCCUGGGCUGAGCCAGAACCAUGGCACCAGUGAAGGGCUGAGCUUGUCCAUUGCUUUUAUGCACCACCCCUGAAGAGCCAAGGUUAGGGAGAGUGGAGGAGACUUCUAGAAACUUCUCUUGGUUUUCCCUCUCAAUAGAUGGGCUGCACAUAUGUUCUGUGCUUACAAACAGUACCUCUCACCACACCACUGCUGGAACCUACCUCAGGGAGCUUCACUCGGCCUUCCUGGAAGGAGCAUGUCUUGGGGUCAUGGGUACAAACAUGCCGGUAUUUACACCAGUGGCAGCGGUAUGGGCUCUCCACACAGGACAGACAUCUGGGCACAGAGAAGAAGCACACAUCUUAGAACCUCAGCUUUAGCUAUUAUAUCCUUAGACUCUAGUAGAACAUUUUGCUAUUAGGAGAGAUGACCCUUUAAUGAUGAGCAAUCAAAGGCCUCACACAAAUCCAUCCUUCUCAAGACUUCAUAGGAUGAACUCCUCACUGAGCGCUGGAAACCUGUGAGCCUCCCUCUCUCCCCAUUGUUGACGUGGUCCUUUGCAAAACAGGAUAUUGAUAAGAAGCAGAGUCCCUAAGAACUAAGACAAAGCCCAACCCAGGUUUUAAUUCAAAUUGUACCUGAGUCUCACUGUUAGAGACCGGGCAGUUGGGCAGGUAAUGGUUCUAGUGGAGGGCAGGGCCUGAGUGCUAUGAUCUUAUUAAUUUGUGAAUCCUCCAUAUGAUGAGUAACACUAUGGAUGGGAUGCCACUAAGAGGUGACAUCACUGGCAACUCAUGGCAAGAAGUGAGAAGAAAGCCAUGAUGUUGAUGCAGCUGGGCUCUGGCUGGGCAGGAGACAGGCUUCCUUCCCCUAGGUCCUGACUGAGCUAACUUCUAGUCUCAUGGAUAAUCUGCAUGGACUCAAUCCUAUUAUGGGCCAUAAGUUUUUAUUCUAUUAGUGCUCCCCAAGUGUCAUGUUAGAUGCCUACCUGUGAAGAUAGGAAUGCAGAACAGCAUGUUAAUGUUGUGUGUGUGUCGGAGGGUGUCAGGCCAUG